rnacentral:rRNA from 1 species
GCUCAGAUUGAACGCUGGCGGCAGGCCUAACACAUGCAAGUCGAGCGGAUGACGGGAGCUUGCUCCUUGAUUCAGCGGCGGACGGGUGAGUAAUGCCUAGGAAUCUGCCUGGUAGUGGGGGACAACGUUUCGAAAGGAACGCUAAUACCGCAUACGUCCUACGGGAGAAAGCAGGGGACCUUCGGGCCUUGCGCUAUCAGAUGAGCCUAGGUCGGAUUAGCUUGUUGGUGAGGUAAUGGCUCACCAAGGCGACGAUCCGUAACUGGUCUGAGAGGAUGAUCAGUCACACUGGAACUGAGACACGGUCCAGACUCCUACGGGAGGCAGCAGUGGGGAAUAUUGGACAAUGGGCGAAAGCCUGAUCCAGCCAUGCCGCGUGUGUGAAGAAGGUCUUCGGAUUGUAAAGCACUUUAAGUUGGGAGGAAGGGUUGUAGAUUAAUACUCUGCAAUUUUGACGUUACCGACAGAAUAAGCACCGGCUAACUCUGUGCCAGCAGCCGCGGUAAUACAGAGGGUGCAAGCGUUAAUCGGAAUUACUGGGCGUAAAGCGCGCGUAGGUGGUUUGUUAAGUUGGAUGUGAAAGCCCCGGGCUCAACCUGGGAACUGCAUCCAAAACUGGCAAGCUAGAGUACGGUAGAGGGUGGUGGAAUUUCCUGUGUAGCGGUGAAAUGCGUAGAUAUAGGAAGGAACACCAGUGGCGAAGGCGACCACCUGGACUGAUACUGACACUGAGGUGCGAAAGCGUGGGGAGCAAACAGGAUUAGAUACCCUGGUAGUCCACGCCGUAAACGAUGUCAACUAGCCGUUGGAAUCCUUGAGAUUUUAGUGGCGCAGCUAACGCAUUAAGUGACCGCCCCUG